CAGUCGCCGCGGGAAUACGAAGGGGGCAAGCGUUGGUCGGAAUUACUGGGCGUAAAGGGCGCGCAGGCGGACAGUUCAGUCGGGGGUGAAAGCCCGGGGCUCAACCUCGGAAUUGCCUUCGUUACUGGCUGUCUUGAGUAUGGGAGAGGGGUGUGGAACUCCGAGUGUAGCAGUGAAAUUCGUAGAUAUUCGGAAGAACACCAGUGGCGAAGGCGACACACUGGCUCAUUACUGACGCUGAUGCGCGAAAGCGUGGGGAGCAAACAGGAUUAGAUACCCGAGUAGUCCCUGUCUCUUAUAC
rnacentral:rRNA from 1 species